GCCAGCGCCGAUCAAUAUCAUUUACCUUUACAUGGCUAUCGGGGCGUCUUUUACAGGCUCAAGCUGAUUUCUACAAUGGUGCUUAUACCCCACGAUAAAUCCUUUCCAUACCUGUGCGUGGGUGUCUGCUGUCUAGGUAGUAUAAGGUAGUCUGGAAUUUCAGGUGAGUGGGUUGAGGUGCGUCCUUGACCCGCCUUCAAUCUUUUGCAUUUUGUGGUUUUAUUUUAUUAUUCCUUUUACCUGAAAGGAAAUGUAUAUAAAGUUUCAUGAUCAACUUAGAGCCUUGAUUCGCGCCAUUUUUUCUUUUCAGAAUGGGAACAGUAUACCCAAAAUAGGAACAAAAGGAAUGAUUGAAUGCCUAAAGAGAAAAGUAGGCAGUGUUCUUCUGGGCUUACCACGCACCACCGAAUUGAUUGACACUCAGCAGACGAGGGGGGGCCAUUGAUCAAUAGGCAACUCUGCUGCAGCUGUGACUAUGCUUAUGCAAAUCAAAGUGCAAGAGUGCUCUGCUUCAAUGAUUUGGAUGUUUCAAAUGUCACAAAAAUGUCAUGUUCUUUUUUUAGCUGUUUCGUGUGAAAAUAAACACAGUUUUGUACGUUAUCGUGA